GAUGAAGAACGUAGCGAAAUGCGAUAUGUAGUGUGAAUUGCAGAAUUCAGUGAAUCAUCGAAUCUUUGAACGCACAUUGCGCUCUCUGGUAUUCCGGGGAGCAUGCUCGUUUCAGAAUCAUUAACAUUCUCAAAGGCAACGGUCUGAACCCUCGGGCGAAGCCGUUACCCUUUCGGAUGUGAGCCGCUUUGCUGCAAGGCAAUGGCUUGAAAAUGAUUGUGUUUGCAACCGGCCUUCUUGGUUCGGUUCUCUCAAGUGCAACAGAUGUUAGCUCAUUCGUUACCUCUUGAUGAGAAUCGAUUCCAUUGUCCGGAUGAUCUUACACUCAACCAACAUACACUUUCAGUGAUCCUUGGAUCAUUGUUUGAUAACUUGGUCUGAAAUCGAGCAAGAAAACCCGCUGAACUUAAGCAUAUCAAUAAGCGGAGGA
rnacentral:misc_RNA from 1 species